rnacentral:lncRNA from 1 species
GGCAAGAGGCACUUUUCCUAGUGACCAUGGGGCUGUUAGCAGGUCCCUUAGCAGCUGGAGUGUUGUUGGGUUUGUGAACCUAUGCCCCUGUAUGCCUUGGCCUUUCCAAAGGGUCAGCCUCUUCCUGGUAGUGCUUUUGUGUACUUGUCUGAUUGGGACUUCAUGUUUCUUUGAUGGGACUGUUGUUUGAAACUGUACACACGGUGUGAGUUUAUAUCAGCUGUGAGGUGCAAUGGGGUGGAGAUCAGCAAUACAGCCAGAGACCUUACGUGAUCUGACAUUGUCUAGGUGAUUGGCAGGUGUGGGGUUGUGGAGAGAGGUGGGGCUGACAGGUGGUGCUGAAACAUCCCCCAUGACAAGCUCUUCUGUCCCCUACCUCACCUGUUCACUACCCAGCAGUUCUCUCUUGUCUAUCUGUUCUGCUUUCAUCUUUUCAUCUUUGUUGGCUGUGUCUGGUUUUCAGUGUGUCUCUCUCUUCUUCCUCCUCUUGGGAAUGUAGCUCAGUGGUAGAAUGCUUGCCUAGCAUGCUCAAGGCCCUGGGUUCAAUCUCCAGUACUGCCCCAAACAAAGAUCAGCCCGCACCAGAUGUUACCAGUAUCCUUCCUCUUCCUCCUCCCCACCACCAAAUUCGUCCUGGUUCCAUUUCUAGUUUCUCUUUGCCAGUGAUCCGACCCUCCUGUCCCCACCAGGGCCAGAGCUGGCUGGGCCUAAGGAAAGCUUGCCCUAAGGAGGACUUUGAGCCUGCGCAGGGAGUCCAGGGGAACCAGGGUCUGAUAAUCUAUACUCCAGAGAUCCAGAGAAGACUGGGGAGUGGGCUGCCAGGGAGAGGAACUGAAAGGAGGGGAUAGAGAGAGGAGGGGGGCUGGAAGAGGGUGGCCCUCCAUCAGGAUCUGGGGCAAUCUAGGUAGGGCUGUGGAGGACGGGGCCCCAGAAAGCGCCAGAGAGAAGCAAAGGUUGGUGGUGUGAAAAGAGCAAGUCUGGCUGGACAGGUGAGCCCUGUUCCCUUCCCCCUUCUGGUUCCUGUUGCUGGGCUGGGCGCCGGGCCUGUGGGAACCCGCUCCUUCCCCAGUGCCCUAGGGCUCUCCCCCUCGCCUCUCUCCAGGAACCAGGCCCAGAAAAGGGGGAGUAGGGAGGGGCGCCAACCCCUCCUGGGGCCGCGUGAGCGGGUAGCAGCAGGCCCCCUGGCGGUGCUCUUUGUGGGGAACUCAGGGCCGCGGGGGAUGGGCAGGGAGCGGGCCUGGGUCCGCAGCGCCAGAGACUGGGCUGCUGGCUAGGACUGGCGACCGCGGGGAUGGCGCGCCGAGGAGGGGGUGGCGGACGGGUUACCU